rnacentral:rRNA from 1 species
GGUUUUCGGAUCGUAAAGCUCUGUUGUUAGGGAAGAACAAGUACCGUUCGAAUAGGGCGGUACCUUGACGGUACCUAACCAGAAAGCCACGGCUAACUACGUGCCAGCAGCCGCGGUAAUACGUAGGUGGCAAGCGUUGUCCGGAAUUAUUGGGCGUAAAGGGCUCGCAGGCGGUUUCUUAAGUCUGAUGUGAAAGCCCCCGGCUCAACCGGGGAGGGUCAUUGGAAACUGGGGAACUUGAGUGCAGAAGAGGAGAGUGGAAUUCCACGUGUAGCGGUGAAAUGCGUAGAGAUGUGGAGGAACACCAGUGGCGAAGGCGACUCUCUGGUCUGUAACUGACGCUGAGGAGCGAAAGCGUGGGGAGCGAACAGGAUUAGAUACCCUGGUAGUCCACGCCGUAAACGAUGAGUGCUAAGUGUUAGGGGGUUUCCGCCCCUUAGUGCUGCAGCUAACGCAUUAAGCACUCCGCCUGGGGAGUACGGUCGCAAGACUGAAACUCAAAGGAAUUGACGGGGGCCCGCACAAGCGGUGGAGCAUGUGGUUUAAUUCGAAGCAACGCGAAGAACCUUACCAGGUCUUGACAUCCUCUGACAAUCCUAGAG